CGAGUUUGAUCAUUGCUCAGAUUGAACGCUGGCGGCAGGCCUAACACAUGCAAGUCGAGCGGAUGAUGGGAGCUUGCUCCCGGAUUCAGCGGCGGACGGGUGAGUAAUGCCUAGGAAUCUGCCUGGUAGUGGGGGACAACGUUUCGAAAGGAACGCUAAUACCGCAUACGUCCUACGGGAGAAAGCAGGGGACCUUCGGGCCUUGCGCUAUCAGAUGAGCCUAGGUCGGAUUAGCUAGUUGGUGGGGUAAAGGCCUACCAAGGCGACGAUCCGUAACUGGUCUGAGAGGAUGAUCAGUCACACUGGAACUGAGACACGGUCCAUACUCCUACGGGAGGCAGCAGUGGGGAAUAUUGGACAAUGGGCGAAAGCCUGAUCCAGCCAUGCCGCGUGUGUGAAGAAGGUCUUCGGAUUGUAAAGCACUUUAAGUUGGGAGGAAGGGCAGUAAGUUAAUACCUUGCUGUUUUGACGUUACCAACAGAAUAAGCACCGGCUAACUUCGUGCCAGCAGCCGCGGUAAUACGAAGGGUGCAAGCGUNAAUCGGAAUUACUGGGCGUAAAGCGCGCG
rnacentral:rRNA from 1 species